ACUCAUACUUGGCAGAGGAGAUACCACAGUUGUUAAAGUGGUUUUCCUGGGGUAAGGCUCAUCUAUUGCAUUCUGGAUGUGCUGACCCCUGUGAUUUUUCCCAAAUGUGGAGAAAUCAACUGCCUAAGUGGGGGACUAUGUUUGUGGUUUCUCCUG
rnacentral:snRNA from 1 species